CACGUAGGGGGGCGAGCGUUUGUCCGGAUUUAUUGGGCGUAAAGAGCUCGUAGGUGGCUCGGUAAGUCGGGUGUGAAAUUUCGAGGCUCAACCUCGAAACGCCACCUGAUACUGCUGUGGCUAGAGUCCGGUAGGGGAGCGUGGAAUUCCUGGUGUAGCGGUGAAAUGCGCAGAUAUCAGGAGGAACACCAGCGGCGAAGGCGGCGCUCUGGGCCGGUACUGACACUGAGGAGCGAAAGCGUGGGGAUCAAACAGG
rnacentral:rRNA from 1 species